rnacentral:rRNA from 1 species
AAUAGAUACCCUGGUAGUCCACGCCGUAAACGAUGAGUGCUAAGUGUUAGAGGGUUUCCGCCCUUUAGUGCUGCAGCUAACGCAUUAAGCACUCCGCCUGGGGAGUACGGCCGCAAGGCUGAAACUCAAAGGAAUUGACGGGGGCCCGCACAAGCGGUGGAGCAUGUGGUUUAAUUCGAAGCAACGCGAAGAACCUUACCAGGUCUUGACAUCCUCUGCCAACCCUAGAGAUAGGGCGUUCCCCUUCGGGGGACAGAGUGACAGGUGGUGCAUGGUUGUCGUCAGCUCGUGUCGUGAGAUGUUGGGUUAAGUCCCGCAACGAGCGCAACCCUUGAUCUUAGUUGCCAGCAUUCAGUUGGGCACUCUAAGGUGACUGCCGGUGACAAACCGGAGGAAGGUGGGGAUGACGUCAAAUCAUCAUGCCCCUUAUGACCUGGGCUACACACGUGCUACAAUGGAUGGUACAAAGAGUUGCGAACCCGCGAGGGUAAGCCAAUCUCAUAAAGCCAUUCUCAGUUCGGAUUGUAGG